rnacentral:lncRNA from 1 species
CCGUUUGCAGGCCCUCUUGCUGUUGGUGGGGCUGCUGCAGGUGGCCUUUGGUGUCCUCUUGGCCAUUUCCCCCUGCGUCUAUAGGGAUGAGCUGCAUGUCCACUUUUACUCAGCAGUGCUGUUGCUCUUGGCUGGAAUCAUCACUCUGGCUGCAGACACAACACACAGCCUGGCCCUGGUGAAAGCCUGCCUGGUCAUUUACAUCAUCUGCACAGCGGUGGUGGGCAUGAUCAACUUAUUCUACCUUGUGGACUUGGUGUAUGAUCCCCGUAACCGGUACAUCCAGUGUCCUUCCAGCAACAGGUUGCACUGCAGGCGGCUGUACCAGAUCUCGCCGGUCGCCGCCCUGACGAAUCCGCCCGCUUCCCACGAGGCCGCCGUGGAGCCCGAGCCUGUGGUGUCAGAGGGACCUGCGGCGUGAGUGUCCCCUGGUGGAGAGACCGACAGCCCCCCUCAGCAAGCAGCUACCCUGUGUCCCUCAGCGAGAGGUGUUUCUGUUUCACCCUCUCUGCCUUCCCUCCAUCAUCCCCCCUUGUGGAAAAGCCCCUGCUAACUGCCGUUGUGUGUUGUUGCUGCUCACAUGCCCCCUGCUGGACUACCGCACCAUUGCGCCAUGGUGCAAGCGCCCCCCAAAAUCUGUUAAUGUCUUGCAAGCCAAGGGCCUGUCCUGCAAAAUCCUGGAUGGGGAGAGGAUGGCAUAGCACCAUCUGAUGGGCCCUGCAACUAGCUAACAGGAAGUGGGCUAGAGAGAGGCGCAGAGCCUGGCACAGGUUAUGGAUUCCCUCAACCAAGCUCUGAACCCAGCUUCAUCCAUUAUGUGUAAUUGUUAUGUGAAGGCAUCUCCCUGAAACCUGGAACUCUCUGAUUCAUGGAGCCAUAGAUUCUAAGGCCAGAAGGCACCGUUAAAUCAUCUACUCUGACCUUCUGUGUAACACAGGUCAGCGCAUGUCACUCAGUUACCCCUGCACAGAGCCUGAUAACUUGUAUUCAGCUGAAGCCUCUUCCACAAAGGCAUCAGUCUUGAUCUGAAGCUACCAAGAAAUGGAGAAUCCAUCACUUCCCUUGGUAGUCUGUUAAUCGUGUGCACCAUUAGAAAUUUGUGCCUAAUUUCUAAUUUAAUUUGUCUGGCUUCAGCUUACAGCCAUCGGUUCUCGUUAUGCCUUUCUCUGCUCGAUUACAGAGCCCUGGUAUUUGAUCUUCCACAAGAAGUCUACCGGGGGCAUCUCCUCCUGCUUUAAUUGGUGGGUCUAUCAGCGAAGCUGCAGGCACGGAUCAUGACAUGUGUUAUUUCUCCAAAGGAAUGGCUUUGCGGCUGAUUGAGGUGUG